UAAUUUCCGAUCAGCCAACAUCCAACCACCAGAGUAGAAAGCACCAGCUGAACUCACUCUCCUCAUCCAGCUAGAGGUCAGUAUAACUCCAGUCUCUGAGGAUGAAAGCAGCAAUCCUGAAGCCUAUUUUUAGAGAAUCUGUCUGUCUUUCCAGCCUCAUGCUUUUGGGUGUCUUUUCCUACAAUGUUCAGGAUGGAUUCACCAUCACGUUUUAGAAAAAAAAUGUUGGUGCUCAGAUAAAGGACAUGCUUUGCCCACAGUCGCACAGUGACAGGCAACUGGCCCAGUGUUUACUUACAGCCGCAAUGAGUGCUCAGAGAUCCCCUCCUCUGGACCAGGGCUGCAGCUGCGUGCUCUGCUAUGUGAUCCGGCACUAAAUAUGUGAUGAAUAACUUUUGUCAUUCAGCCUUCGACAAAUAUCUACCAGCAUGGAUCAGCGCUGCACCAGGCACUUGGCAAUAAAGGAGUGAAUGCAACCAGGUCCCACUGCUGGGAAACCCAGGAGUUGCACUAUAGAGUGACUUAGAACUGUGUCACACAGAGUGUGAAAGAACACAGAGAAAGGCUACUUAACCCAGUCCUGGGGGCCAGGAAAGGUUUUCCAGGGGAAAUGACAUCUAAGCUGAGGUCUGAAGGAUGAGUGAAAGCUGGCCAGGCACAGAAGCGAAAUGUUCUAUGAAGAAGGUUAGCAGUGCAAAGGCGUGAAGAGAAGAAAUGGGCAGCUUCUACGAGUUGAGAAUAGAUAAAAUGUAGGAUUCGAAGAAAAGGCGGAGCAAGAAGUGAGACAAGAGAAGUGAGCCUGGGUGAGAACAAAGGGCCUUGUGAGCUAAGUUAAAAAUUCACCUGAGUUUACCUUCCAUGAAUUCCCUGUACCUGAUGACAACGAGAAGCCAUGGAAGGUCUCUCCUGAACUGAUGCAGAUAGAAUAUCAAGCACAGGACCCGGUCAGAGUAGGGACACAAUAAAUUUCUGUUGACUCUGAA